GUCAAUCAUCGAAUCUUUGAACGCAAAUUGCGCUCCCUGGUAUUCCGGAGAGUAUGCCUGUUUGAGGGUCAGUUUAAAUAAAAACCGGUUUGGUUGCUGCCUUUCGUGGUGACGCACCGGUUCUGGGUCGUCUUGACUUCGGUUAAGUUAUCUCAAAUUUUGCUUGAAUUAUUUCGUACGUAUUU
rnacentral:misc_RNA from 1 species